rnacentral:rRNA from 1 species
CGGGUGAGUAACACGUGACUAACCUACCUCCGAGUUCGGAAUAACUUCGGGAAACCGAGGCUAAUACCGGAUGAUGUCUAAGGACCAAAGGGGCAACUCGCUUGGAGAGGGGGUCGCGGCUGAUUAGCUAGUUGGUGGGGUAAUGGCCCACCAAGGCAAUGAUCAGUAUCCGGCCUGAGAGGGCGCACGGACACACUGGAACUGAAACACGGUCCAGACUCCUACGGGAGGCAGCAGUGGGGAAUUUUGCACAAUGGGGGAAACCCUGAUGCAGCAAUGCCGCGUGGAGGAUGAAGUUCUUUGGAACGUAAACUCCUUUCGAUCGGGACGAUAAUGACGGUACCGGAAGAAGAAGCCCCGGCUAACUCUGUGCCAGCAGCCGCGGUAAUACAGAGGGGGCAAGCGUUGUUCGGAAUUAUUGGGCGUAAAGGGUGCGUAGGCGGUGCGGUAAGUCUUUUGUGAAAUCUCCGGGCUCAACUCGGAGCCUGCAAAGGAUACUGUCGUGCUUGAGUAUGGGAGAGGUGAGUGGAAUUCCUGGUGUAGCGGUGAAAUGCGUAGAUAUCAGGAGGAACACCUGUGGCGAAAGCGGCUCACUGGACCAUCACUGACGCUGAUGCACGAAAGCUAGGGGAGCAAACAGGAUUAGAUACCCUGGUAGUCCUAGCCCUAAACGAUGAUUGCUUGGUGUAGCGGGUACCCAAUCCCGCUGUGCCGUAGCUAACGCGUUAAGCAAUCCGCC